AGGUUAUUGACAAAGUGCCCGCAGUGGCGAAAACAGGUAGAUCAUAAAGACGCCGUAAAAUCAUCCCUGAUGGCUCGAGCCGCGCCAUCUUUGGCGU
rnacentral:ncRNA from 1 species